rnacentral:rRNA from 1 species
UACGUAGGCAGCAAGCGUUGUUCGGAGUUACUGGGCGUAAAGGGUGCGUAGGCGGCUUUUUAAGUUUGGUGUGAAAUCUCCCGGCUCAACUGGGAGGGUGCGCCGAAUACUGAGAGGCUAGAGUGUGGGAGAGGAAAGUGGAAUUCCUGGUGUAGCGGUGAAAUGCGUAGAUAUCAGGAGGAACACCGGUGGUGUAAACGGCUUUCUGGACCAUAACUGACGCUGAGGCACGAAAGCGUUGGGUAGCAAACAGG